UACGGAAGGCAGCAGUGGGGAAUAUUGCACAAUGGGCGCAAGCCUGAUGCAGCCAUGCCGCGUGUAUGAAAAAGGCCUUCGGGUUGUAAAGUACUUUCAGUCGUGAGGAAGGUGUUAAGGUUAAUAACCUUAGCAAUUGACGUUAGCGACAGAAGAAGCACCGGCUAACUCCGUGCCAGCAGCCGCGGUAAUACGGAGGGUGCGAGCGUUAAUCGGAAUUACUGGGCGUAAAGGGCACGCAGGCGGUUAAUUAAGUUGGAUGUGAAAUCCCCGGGCUUAACCUGGGAAUGGCAUUCAAGACUGGUUAGCUAGAGUCUUGUAGAGGGGGUAGAAUUCCAUGUGUAGCGGUGAAAUGCGUAGAGAUGUGGAGGAAUACCGGUGGCGAAGGCGGCCCCUGGACAAAGACUGACGCUCAUGUGCGAAAGCGUGGGGAGCAAGCAGGGAUUAGAUACC
rnacentral:rRNA from 1 species